rnacentral:rRNA from 2 species
UGGGGAAUAUUGCACAAUGGGGGAAACCCUGAUGCAGCGACGCCGCGUGAAGGAUGAAGUAUUUCGGUAUGUAAACUUCUAUCAGCAGGGAAGAAAAUGACGGUACCUGACUAAGAAGCCCCGGCUAACUACGUGCCAGCAGCCGCGGUAAUACGUAGGGGGCAAGCGUUAUCCGGAUUUACUGGGUGUAAAGGGAGCGUAGACGGCAGUGCAAGUCUGAAGUGAAAGCCCGGGGCUCAACCCCGGGACUGCUUUGGAAACUGUGCAGCUAGAGUGUCGGAGAGGCAAGCGGAAUUCCUAGUGUAGCGGUGAAAUGCGUAGAUAUUAGGAGGAACACCAGUGGCGAAGGCGGCUUGCUGGACGAUGACUGACGUUGAGGCUCGAAAGCGUGGGGAGCAAACAGG